rnacentral:rRNA from 1 species
UGGGGAAUUUUGGACAAUGGGCGAAAGCCUGAUCCAGCCAUGCCGCGUGAGUGAAGAAGGCCUUCGGGUUGUAAAGCUCUUUUAGUCGGAAAGAAAGAGUUGCAAUGAAUAAUUGUGAUUUAUGACGGUACCGACAGAAAAAGCACCGGCUAACUACGUGCCAGCAGCCGCGGUAAUACGUAGGGUGCGAGCGUUAAUCGGAAUUACUGGGCGUAAAGGGUGCGCAGGCGGUCUUGCAAGUCAGAUGUGAAAGCCCCGGGCUUAACCUGCGAAUUGCGUUUGAAACUACAAGGCUAGCGUGCAGCAGAGGGGAGUGGAAUUCCAUGUGUAGCAGUGAAAUGCGUAGAGAUGUGGAAGAACACCGAUGGCGAAGGCAGCUCCCUGGGUUGACACUGACGCUCAUGCACGAAAGCGUGGGGAGCAAACA